CCUACGGGUGGCAGCAGUGAGGAAUAUUGGUCAAUGGGCGCGAGCCUGAACCAGCCAAGUCGCGUGAGGGAAGACGGUCCUAUGGAGUGUAAACCUCUUUUGGCGGGGAGCAAAAGACGCCACGCGUGGCGUUCCGAGAGUACCCGAAGAAAAAGCAUCGGCUAACUCCGUGACAGCAACAGCGGUAAUACGGAGGAGGCGAGCGUUAUCAGGCUUUAUUGGGUUUAAAGGGUGCGCAGGCGGAAGAUCAAGUCAGCGGUAAAAGUGAGAGGCUCAACCUCGUCGAGCCGUUGAAACGGGUUUUCUUGAGUGAGUGAGAAGUAUGCGGAAGGCGUGGUGUAGCGGUGAAAUGCAUAGAUAUCACGCAGAACUCCGAUUGCGAAGGCAGCAUACCGGCGCUCAACUGACGCUCAUGCACGAAAGUGUGGGUAUCGAACAGGAUUAGAUACCCUAGUAGUC
rnacentral:rRNA from 1 species